UGGGGAAUUUUGCACAAUGGGGGAAACCCUGAUGCAGCGACGCCGCGUGAUUUAGAAGGCCUUCGGGUUGUAAAAAUCUUUUAUAUGGGAAGAAAAUGACAGUACCAUAGGAAUAAGGACCGGCUAAUUACGUGCCAGCAGCCGCGGUAAUACGUAAGGUCCGAGCGUUGUCCGGAAUCAUUGGGCGUAAAGGGUACGUAGGCGGGUAAGCAAGUUAGAAGUGAAAUCCUAUAGCUCAACUAUAGUAAGCUUUUAAAACUGCUCAUCUUGAGGUAUGGAAGGGAAAGUGGAAUUCCUAGUGUAGCGGUGAAAUGCGCAGAUAUUAGGAGGAAUACCGGUGGCGAAGGCGACUUUCUGGCCAUAACCUGACGCUGAGGUACGAAAGCGUGGGUAGCAAACAGG
rnacentral:rRNA from 1 species